AUUGAACGCUGGCGGCAGGCUUAACACAUGCAAGUCGAGCGGGGUGAUGGUGCUUGCACUAUCACUUAGCGGCGGACGGGUGAGUAAUGCUUAGGAAUCUGCCUAUUAGUGGGGGACAACAUCUCGAAAGGGAUGCUAAUACCGCAUACGUCCUACGGGAGAAAGCAGGGGAUCACUUGUGACCUUGCGCUAAUAGAUGAGCCUAAGUCGGAUUAGCUAGUUGGUGGGGUAAAGGCCUACCAAGGCGACGAUCUGUAGCGGGUCUGAGAGGAUGAGCCGCCACACUGGGACUGAGUCACGGCCCAGACGCCUACGGGAGGCAGCAGUGGGGAAUAUUGGACAAUGGGGGGAAACCUGAUCCAGCCAUGCCGCGUGUGUGAAGAAGGCCUUAUGGUUGUAAAGCACUUUAAGCGAGGAGGAGGCUCUUUUGGUUAAUACCCAAGAUGAGUGGACGUUACUCGCAGAAUAAGCACCGGCUAACUCUGUGCCAGCCGCCGCAGUAA
rnacentral:rRNA from 1 species